rnacentral:pre_miRNA from 1 species
GCGUUUAGCUCUCUGAUUGGUUGGAUGACUUACAGCCAAUCAGAGCGCCGAACGU